rnacentral:lncRNA from 1 species
UUUUUUUUUUUUUGGUUGGAGUAGUUAGUCAUUAGUACAGAAGUGUUUGGUCACGAGCAGGAAAGAAUGAAAAUGUAAAAUUCAGUGGGCUUCAUUUCCAUGGUUGUGGUGUGAAAUUUGUGGGGGAGAUUCCGGAGUGAGGUAUGCCCCAGGUACUCACCUGAAAAAGGGUUCCAGGUACAUGGUGUGUCCGCAGCAUCCCUGGCCCCAUCCUUUCUGUCCUGGAAUUCUGUGUUUGUGGAUAUAUUAGUCAGGACAGGCUAGUUUAGUUUAUGCUACAGCAACAAGUGGCUCCCAAAUCUUAGUGACUUAGAGACUGACAGAUCUUCUCCACCACAUCCUUUGCCGAUUGGCUGUUGCUCUGCUUCCAGUCAUCCUGCUGGAGCAGUCUCUCCCUGGAACACUUGGUCACUGUGGCAGAAGGAAAGGAAAAAUGGUGAACCACUUCCUGGCUCGAAAAGCUUCUGUGUGGAAGUGACACACAUCUCUUCUGUCUACAUUUCAGAAGGGAUGGGGCCAGGGAUGCUGAGGACACACCAUGUACCCUUUUUCAGGCCAUAUCCAGUAACAGAGUCUACUGCAUCAUAUUAACUGAUAAACCCAGGAUGACAAGAGAAACAUGGGACUCACUCUUCAUUUGCAUUGACUCCAGCUAAGAGCUUCAGUUUUCAUGCUUUGCUUCAGAAUUAUUGUGGUCUGAUGCAGAACUGAAAAGGCCAACACGAGAAUCUUCAAGUACAAUUGCCUGGGAAUCCUGAGGUCUGGACAGCAACACCUGAAUCUGAAUCUCUUUUGGGUUGAAUCAUAAAAGAAAAUAGUAUGGAGAGAUUUAAGGCCAGGCCUCUGGAGAAGGAAUUGAUAAAAUAUGUGGUAGUACCUGCGCUACAGAACAGAAUUCACUUGGAAGUUCUUGGCAUAUAAAUGAAAACAGAUGGGCUGGGAAGCCAGUGGAUCAAAAGAAGGACCUGGGGGAAGCUCAGCUUGGGGACCGGCUUGCUCUUUGCCCUCACUAUUUGUCAACUGGGAAUCUCCUGGGUGCUCAGCUGUGCUGGAAUCUCAGAUGAGUAAAUUGAAGCCCAGAAAGGCCAAGAAACUUGAACCAUUUAGGUGAAGAAGAGUGCUCACCAGAUUCCCUUCUGGUCUGGAAAAAGAAAUCCCUUCUUUUGUGGAUGUCAUCUCUACCAUCUCUCGGUGAAAAAUAUUUCAAGAGAAUCCUAAGAUGGAGAGAGCAUUGGAAGUCAUCCGGCCCAAUUCCCUUGUGCAAUUCAAAGCUUCUUUGUAAGAAAAAUGCCCCCAGAAGUUUGUUUGCAUCAUGAAGAUCAGAUUUUGAGGAUCCAGUCUGGCUCUUCCCUGUACAAAACAUUCCUCACAAACAGAAUAUGGACAAUUGUUAAAUGUCAAAGGUAAAGUUAUUGUGGGAACUCCUUCAAAAAGUUCAAGUGAGAGCCCAUUCUAUGAAUGACCAUUUACAUCUAAUUUUUUUCUGUGCUAUGUUACUUAUUCUGAAGUGGUUGAUCCAAUUCCUAAAAGGGAAUAUUUCAUUACCUUUUAUUUCCUAUAGCAUCCAUUCUGACCCCUUUUCGGUUUAAUUAUUCCCUGAUUCCAGUCUUCAUUCACUCAUUUAUUUGAGGAAUAUUUAUUGACCAACAACUAUGCCAGGUCCCAUUCUAUGUGUAGGGACUAUAAAGUUGAACAAGACAGAGGAGGUACUGGCCUCAGAAUUUACAUUCUAGUAGAUGAGAAAGUAAAAAUAAACACAUGAAAACAUGAAUGAACCGGAUAUUGUAGACUGUGAUAGGUGUAGUUUGGGUAAAGCACAGAGUGCAGUAGUAAAGAUAAACUGCACUCAGAGUGGGGCUAUUUUAGAUGGAAUGGAGAUCUCUGAGGAAAUGAAAUUUGAGCUGAGACCUAAAAGGUCACCCAAGGACUCAUGGGAAAACUCAGUUGUUUCUAUCAAAAUUUAGCUUCAUGAACUCCAGGCCCUUGCAAAUGAUGGUUACCAGGUGAGAAAUGUCUCACUGGCAACAGAGGUUGGCAGACCCAGCUCCAGUUCCAUCCCAGCCAACAUACCAAUGUCAUUAAAAUAAGGCCAUUCAUCAAGGUGGAGACUAUUACUAGAAACAAGCAUUCUAAAGUGCCAUUUGAGUGCCAGGCUCUCAACACUGGGCGUAGCACUGCUCCAUGAGGCUUUUGAGAGCAUAUACUGAGGCAUGACCAAAAAAAUUAAGUCCCAUGUAAGUGAUGCAACUGCUCCCCAAUUACUGUGGAAGUAUCUGCAGACUAACUAUUGUGCGUGUGUGUUUGUUUGCUUUAAUGAAUAAAUUCAGUCAACCAACCAUCUAGCUAUUGACUAAAUCCAUUCUUUUUCUUCCAAAAUGUCUAUUGGCUGAAGUUUACUGGUUUUUAUUUCUAUUCGCAUACGUAAUUUUCUAAACCCCAUUCUUAUGGAACCUUCUCUAAGUUCCUCUCUAUGGCCCUGUCCAUGUUCAUACGGAUACACAUAAAGACACAAAUACACCAAACUAAGUUUAGAGCAGUCUGGUGCCUGCCUAAGACUUCAGCCUCAUCUCCUGCUUCUACCCUCUUUAGUUUAGGAAAAACAGGUAACGUUGCUGAGUGCCAAGUAUUGUGUUAGUAGCUUUGCAUGCAUUUUUUCAUUUUAUCUUCACAAGUUUCUUCUAUCACCAUGAUCUGUAUGUUUGACCAUGGUGUUUCCUCCACCUGAAAUUCCCUUGGUGCUCUGCCUGGGGAACUGUUACUCAUUCUUCAAAUCUCAACGGAAUGAUCUCCUCCUCUGGAAAGCUCUCCCUACUUCCCUAGGAAGAAGUAAUCCCUUCCUCAGUUCUGCUUUGAUUAUAACUUUAUAAGCACCUAUCACUCUGCAUGGUAUUAGUUCACUGUCAUGUCCAUUUCCUCUAUUGGGAUGUAAAUUGCUUAUGGGUAAUAAUUAGGCUUUGAAUCAUUUUAUGAUCUGGCCUAAGACAGUGCUUGGCACAUACUAUAGGCUCAUCAGAUGAUGGCUGAGUAGAAUUAAAUUGAAUCAAGUUGAAGUUAUACUUUGAUGUUUAUCAAUUAACAUGUGUAGUGUGUUAAAUGGUGGUCACUGAAAACAUACGUCUGCACCCUAAUUCCUGGAACCUGUGAAUAUAACCUUACAUGUUAAGAAGAAAUAUGACCUUAAAUGGAUAUGGAGACAAGGAGCUUAUCCUGGAUUGUCUGAGAGGGCCCUAGAUGCAAUCGCAUGUAUUCUGAUAAGUGGAGAGAAACAGAAGAGGAGGAUGCAAUGUGACCAUGUAGGCAGAAGUUUGAAUGGUGCAGCCACAAGCCAAGGAGCCCCUGGGGCCAUCAGAAGCUGGAAGAAGCAAGGAAUGGAUUCCUUCCUAGUGUUUGGAAGGAGUGUGCACUUGCCAACACCUUGGUUUGAGACUUCUGGCCUCUGGAACUGUGACAGAAUAAAUAUCUGUUGUUUUGAGCCACCCAAUUGUUGCUAAUUUGUUAAAGCAACCUUAGAAAAUUAAUAUAGCAUCCACAAUAAAAUUUCUCAAAAUAUAUGUUCCUGUGAAAUGGAAGAGUUCUAGGGAUCUAGUAGCAUAUACGGAACCCAGAUAAGUUAUACAAGUUUUUCCCUGAAAGUCUUUUCAGAUUCUUUAGCGGGCUAAGGUGCAUUGUGAAUCCCAAAAACUUUAGCGUUUUUCAGCAUCUAUUAUCACAUAAUCCUUUCCCCACCCAUGGAAUUAUAUACUAAACUGUUUUUGUAGAUGUUGAUGUUCUGUAGAACAGAGUUUUGGGGUCUGUAUGACUUAAGAUCCUUCUACAAUGGAACACAGUGAGGAGGGUAUUCAGAGGAGUCAUAGAGGGCAUUGAUCUUGCAAUAUAUACUCAGGAAAUUACCAUGGGCAGAAUAAAAUGCUUUUGAAAAUAUUUAAUGUUUGCUUGGCAUUGUUUCUCUUGGGUUUAGCUUUGCAAAAUUUUCCUCAGGUAUCAUUUUUCUUGUUGCCAUGGAGCCAAUUCACUUCCCAAGGCAAGUUGGUGAUUGGCCUAAGGGAAACUAUUGAGAAAAAAUGGACAGCUCAAGAUGUGGUUUGAAACAUUGAUGUUCUUUCUUGGUGCACUUAACUCUUCUCUCUGCUAUUAUUUUUCUUCUUCACUCUCCUGGAAUCUCCCUCUUUCCCAGUGUAAGUGAGAGUCUAAUAGCUCAUGAUGCAGCUUGGUUUGUUGUGUAUUGAAGUGACCGUAGCUGCAUUUGUUUUGGCAAACCCAUCAUCAUUUGUCUGAGGCAUAACAAUGGCCUCUUUAUUGAUGGUUUAAUCCAGUUCCUGAGGCUGGAUUAAAUAAAUGAGACAAUUGAACCUCAGAUAGGUAAGUGACUUGGCCUUGGUCACCUAGCAAGGCACUGCUAGCCAGACACACAAUCUCACUUAGUAAUUUCUGUCUAGUGCCUCCUACUAGACAGGCCAAGGCCCAGGGCACUGCACUCUGCAUGGGGUGGAAGUAGGGUGUAGCAUUGGAAUGGAGGUAGUGGUAGAAUGCAGUACUUAAAGCCAAGGAGAGAACACUAAAGAAUCCAUAGCCCCAGGAGAAGUAAAGUCAAAGGGAACCAAAAUCCAAAGGCAGUAAUCACCGAGAGGGACUCAGGAGUGAGAGAAAAUUCAUGGACAAGUGGCAGGUCAGAAGCCAGGGAAGUCAGGGCUGCCAGAAAUUUGCAAGCAGCAGGCAGGACCCCUAGUCUUUAUACAACCCUGGUCUUUCUGUAAAAGGCUGGAAAAAAACAGCUUUUUCAAACAUGCUAUAUUCAAAUGUGCCAUAAUUGUUCUGUUUUGAGAAACCAGAAUGGUCUGGCUUUUGUGCAGAAAUAAGGAGAAUAUCAUCCUUUGCUGCUCAAUGAUAAAUGUAUUGCCUGAACCUGAGCCUGGAAGACACUGCCCUACAUGUGCCCAAUGUCUCACAAUGCUUCCUUUGGGCAGUUUAGUUUGGUGUGUGACCUCUGACCUCAAAGUAUCUGAAUAGAAAACAUAACCACACUAGUUCACGCUACCUAUUCCUCUUUCCUCCAAGCAAGUACACUGAAAAUGCUAAGUCCAAACUGUGAAAGAUCUGAGAUAUUACUGUAUUUGCAAGCUACAAAGUUAGCCCUCCACAAUAUGUAUAUAUGCUUAUGUAUAUAUAUUUAUGUGUGUGUGUGCAUGCACACAUGUGUGAGGUGUGUAAUAUAUAUAUAACUUUAUAUCUGACCAAGUUUUGCAUGCCACGUUCUCACAAAGCAACACAAUGAGGGCUUGAUGUCACUGCAUGUGCAGUGGCGUUGGCUCUACAGGAGAAGAGGAACCCUGAAGUUAUAAAGUUUGGAAGUUUAUGGGACAUCCAUCCAUGUUUUCUUCUGGAAAGAGGAAGAAAUAAAUACUUUACUCUUGAAUGGAAAAAAAAAUAUUUUUGUGGAGAAGAGGGGAGGGUUUUUAUUUUGCCACCCUAGACUGUAAACAAACGGUUUCAGGGACAGAAAAAUCCUGAGGUCUCUAUCUUUAGGUUUCAUACUAUGGUCCAAAUAUGUGUGUAUCCUCAAAAUUCAUGCGCUGAAAUCCUAAUCCUAAAGUGACAGUAUUAGAAAGUGGGGCCUUUGGGAGGUGAUUAGAGGAUGAAGGUGGAGGCCUCAUGAAUGGGAUUAGAGUCUUUAUAAAAGGACCUGAAGGAGCUUUUUUACCCUGCCACCAUGUGAGGACACAGUGAGAAGGCACCAUCUAUGAACCAGAAAGCAGAUGCCCUAACCAGACACUGAAUAUGCUGGCGCCUUGAUCUUGGACUCAGCACACAGAACUGUGAGAAAUAAAUUUCUAUUGUUUGUAAGCUACCCAGUCUAUGGUACUUUCUUAUAGCAUCCCAAAUGGACUAAAACAUUUGAUAUUCAGUCAAAUGUUCUUUGUUCAGUGUUGUUUGUUCAUAAAGCUCUGACCAUGAGGAAACAUGAAAAUAUUUGUGGAGCACUGUCUCCCAAUACCAAAACUCAUCGUUUCUCUCUUAAAAAUAAAGGCAUUUCCAGAACAUCAAUAGAUGCUGGGGUAAGUAAAGGAAGGAGAGAAAAAGAAUGAAAAAGGAAUGAAGCUAUUGUACAUAUGAGCAGUGCCUGGGUUCUAGUUAAAUGAGCCUAAAAUGCCUGUUGCUAUCAUGAUAAGUUACACACAUGUCAAUGUGAACUCUCACUAACCAAGGAGAAAACUGAGAUAACUCUUAUUUUCCUCUCUCCCCUCCCCUCCCCUCCCCUCUCCCUCCCUCCCUUCCUUCCUUCUUUCCUUCCUUUUCUCUUUGUUCUUUCUUUCUUUUGAUUUCUUUCUUUUUCUUUCUUUCUUCUUGCUUCUCUAUUUCUUCCUUUCUUUUUCUUUCUUUCUUCUUUCCUUCUCUCUCUAUUUCUUCCUUCUUUCUGCAUCAGAUGGUUAACAAAAUAGACACAGUCUUGGAGCAAGUCUAGAGUGGCACA